CGCGGUCUGGGCUCUGGCCAAUGAUAGCCUAGGGGAGAGGCGUUUCCGGAACCGCCGCGCCAGCGCGUGGUGGCUUCUGGUUUUCGGUUGUUUCUUUGGCAGCUUGCCGUUUUAUCGGUGUUGGAGGAGGAACCAAGUUGCCUGGCCGUGGAUGGUGCCGGGAGGCUCACCGGGCCUGCGGGAACGGAUGCAGGGAAGAUUCGAGAGUCGGGGAGAUUCCGUCUCCGUGCCCUGUGCACCCCUUGGCCCCAGAGAAUGUCCUGACUACCCAAGCCCGGAUAUCCUUGGCAGUAGGGGGGGCUACCUCGCGGGGAUGUCUACAAGGACCUCCUUUGGAGCCCGCCCGGGAGUCGUCGCCCUUGGCGUUGUGUCUGCUUUACAGAGCGGGGGACGGAGGCUCAAAGCCACGCGUUCCGAGCUCAUGACCAGCUUGUGGCUGGACUACGGGCGUGAUGAGUGAGCCGAUCAACUAGUCACGGCUGAAGGAUUCUUCCACCCGACCUGACUCGGAGUCCCAGUGUCCUGAGUCCCCGACUGAGCUACAGGCCUCGAUGUUCUGGAUGAUGGAGCGUUCGCAGGUGGGGAGUCUUCAUCCCAGAAUUCGUUCACAGGCUAACUGUUGACUGGAUGUCUCCAAGCUGAAUUCCUCGGCAUAACUUAGACCUGCAUGUCCAGCUGCCCUUUCAGUACCUCCACCUGGAAGUCUGCAAGGCAUUGCCAGGGUCAAAAUCUGCCUCUUGAUCUUCCCUGAAACCUGCUUCGCCCAGCAACCUCCCCAUCUCAGUCGAUGCCCUUCAAUUCCAUCUUCUCAUAGCUGAGGCCAAACUCCAUGGUGAUAUCCCUGGAUAUCCACAUCAUAAAAUCUGGCUGACUUGAAAGAUCCAAAUCCAGCCACUUCUCCCAACUCCAGUCACCACUCAAGCCAAGACACCAUCACUCACCUGAUCCAGUAAAGGUGCAUCCUUAUGGGCCUCCCUUUCUGCCUCCUCACCUUCACUCCCUACCCCACGUCUGUUUUUCACUCUGCAGCCAAAGGGAGCCUAUGAACACCUGAGUCAUAUCACCUUCCUCCUCUACUCCAAACCUUCCAUGACUCACACCACCCUCAGAUUACAGACCAAGCUGCUCAGGCUACCGUGUCAGGCCUGACUCUUGUCCACCAGACACGAAGGAAACCUUUCACAUCCUGGUCCCUAACCCUGAGACAGCUUUCCACACCUUGUCCCAUUGGAUUCCAGAAUUAUGAAACUUUCCACAUAACCCCUGGCCAGGACUCAGGACCUCGGGCUUGGGGUAAUCCUAGGGUCCUAGCAGCAAAGGAAGAAAGGCGAAGGCGGAGGAGAAGAGUCCAGGGACCCACCACUCCCCUCUAUCGUGGGCCCGUGCUAUGCGGAUGCUGGUCCGGGUCCGCCAGCGCCGCCGCUACCGCCAUUGGACCCGGGCAGGCCCUGAGAGGUUGGCCGAUGCCCACACCUCCACUGGGCCAGGUGCCCGCCCGCCGCCCGUAGCAAUCGGAGCCUCAGAGGGGACGAAACGCGGCAGCCGAUCCCAUCUUCCUUACUGUCUUCCACGCUGGGUCCCGAGGAGGCGCCUGGAAAGCAGCCCCCGCCCAGAGCUCAGGUCCCCAAGGGCGCUAUAUAACGACCUGUCAAGAGCAAAAUGAACGCCCACAACGGAGGCGCCGGAAGUCCCGUGAGCCGCAGGAAGUCGCUCUCCUUCUGUGAUUGGCCCAUAGCUCGCCGCCAUUCCCCUUGGCCUUCUGGUUAGUGUAGUUUCAGCCUCGCAUUGGCCUGGAGUGGGGCGCGGACAAAUUCUCCGUGGGCAACGCCCAAGUGGCAGCGGAGGGGCACUGGGAAAUGGAAUCCGAGAUUAAGAAUGGUAAUGGUGUGUCAUAGCUUCCUUUUAAAGAGGUCAUUCUCGAUUUCCUCCCUCAGAGAUGUCCCGCCCGUGACCUGCAUUCUGAACAUGGAGGGACCAGCACUGUGAAGGGGCCCCUGGGAACACCUCUUCUGCAUUUUCUGAGGAUGUAAAAUGAAGAUAAUACCUCCUUCAUGGAGAGUUUUAGUAACAUUAAAUGUGUCUUUAAUUCAGUGGUCCCCAGAUCAGUAGCAUCAGCAUCACUGGGGAACUUGCUAGAAAUGCAAGUUCUUGUCCCUUCUCCAACCCCUCAUCAGAAAUUCUGGGACAAGCCUAAACAUUCUGUGCUUUGACAAUCCCUCUUGGGUAUCCUCACCCAGAAUAAGUUCUAACUCAAAAUCCAGUGGUGAAAGUUGGAAAAUACUACAACUUUCCUCAUGAGAAGUGACAUGAAAAGUGCUUAGCACAGGGCCAGGUACAUGGUGCUGUGACACUUAGUAAAGGGAAACCUCACUAAAAUGGAGUGCAAGGGAAAGCUCUCACUUGGUACCACUGGAAGUCAAGAAUUGCCGACAGAAGAAUCUUCAACAGGAAAGAAUCAUCAAUUCCAGGCCCCAACAAGUAAAGAUGUACAUUGGAUCUCCUAGUAGAAAUCAACUGCCCCUGCAACUCAACCAAUGAGAAACUGUCAUCACCCUGAAUUCUUUUCUCCAAUGGACUUUCUUUCAAAACAGCCCCUCCCACCUUCCUCCUUCCUCUUAUAAAAUAACAUUCCUCUCCUUUGUUAGACUUGCCUAAGGUUUUGCUGUAGCUUGCAUGUUCAGAAUUGCAAUUCUCUGCUAAUCCCAAAUAAACCCAUUUUUGCUGGCAAA